rnacentral:rRNA from 1 species
CAAUAGCGUAUAUUUAAGUUGUUGCAGUUAAAAAGCUCGUGGUUGGAUUUCGGUUAAGAGCGACCGGUCCGCCGUUUGGUGUGCACUGGUUGGUUUUAACUUCCUGUAGAGGACGUGCUCUGGGUUUAACGACCUGGACUCGGAGUCUACGUGGUUACUUUGAAAAAAUUAGAGUGUUCAAAGCGGGCUUACGCUUGAAUAUUUCAGCAUGGAAUAACACUAUAGGACUCCUGUCCUAUUUCGUUGGUCUCGGGACGGGAGUAAUGAUUAAGAGGAACAGUUGGGGGCAUUCGUAUUUCAUUGUCAGAGGUGAAAUUCUUGGAUUUAUGAAAGACGAACUUCUGCGAAAGCAUUUGCCAAGGAUGUUUUCAUUAA